CCCUUAGAUGUUCUGGGCCGCACACGCGCUACACUGAAGGAGGCAGCGUGUACUCCUGGAUCGAAAGAUUUGGGUAACCCGCGAAUCUCCUUCGUGCUAGGGAUUGAGGUUUGCAAUUAUCCUUCAUGAACGAGGAAUUCCCAGUAAGUGCAAGUCAUAAGCUUGCGCUGACUACGUCCCUGCCCUUUGUACACACCGCCCGUCGCUACUACCGAUUGAAUGAUUUAGUGAGGACUUCGGACUGGGACCGAUGCGGCUUUCGGGCUGCGUCGGUAUUCUGGAAAGAUGUCCAAACUGUAUCAUUUAGAGGAAGUAAAANUCGCANCA
rnacentral:rRNA from 1 species